rnacentral:rRNA from 1 species
UACAGAGGUCUCAAGCGUUGUUCGGAUUCAUUGGGCGUAAAGGGCGCGUAGCGGGUUGGCAAGUCUGCUGUGAAAGCCCGGAGCUUAACUCCGGAGGGUCGGUGGAUACUGCCAGUCUUGAAGGUGCCAGGGGGGAGAUGAAUUACCGGUGUAGCGGUGAAAAUGCGUAGAUAUCGGUAGGAACACCAGUGGCGAAGGCGGUCUCCUGGAGCAUUCUUGACGCUGAGGGCGCGAAAAGCUGGGGGAGCGAAACGGGG